ensembl:lncRNA LOC103690528 uncharacterized LOC103690528
GUUAAUAGCUGGUGGCCAGCUCCACCACCCUCUUCUGUAUGAUUUGGAAGGCAGUAUCCUCACAGCCAGAAAGUACAUCUUGCUAUUAAUCAAGGAUGCCUGCAUCGUGGAAGGUAUUGGCCUGGAUUACUAGGAAGGAAAAACAAAAAGGCUUUCCAGGCUUUGGUUUUGAUAUCUGGCCUAAAGAAAACACACACAGAUUUCACCCUCAGGAGAAGGAAGGAACUUUGAGGGAGUAACUGCUAAGAUGCGUCAUCUGAAGUCUCAGUUUCCGGCUUGAUUUUACCAGCUCCUAGCCCACCAUCCACCCACCGGUCCAUUUCCUUCCCAAUCUCAGGAGAGGCAAUCUCCAAUUUGGGGGUUUAUAUUUAACACCUGCAGAUCUUGGCUAAGAGAUCUCCGUUUCAUUCUCCUGCACCAUGCCACCCUCCCUCUCACCAUUUAAACACUUUUAAACAGUGCUUCUAAAUCACCACAAAGGAGGGGGAUUCUCUUUGUAGGCUGUUACGAAGGCCUAAUGUUUUUUUCCAGUCUCAGUUUCUGGACAGUCACCUCCACUCGAGGCUUCAUAAAGUUGAAUGCAGAGUCUCACAGAUUGGCAGCAGCUCUGCUUCAUUUGAUGAACGUGGAAUAUGGCGUAAGAGUGUUUCACCUGGAGGGAGGCAGGGCUGGAGAGAUGGCUCACAGGUUAAGAGCACUGGGCUGCUCUUCCAGACCACCAGGACUCCAUUUCCAGCACUCAUAUGGCUGUAACUCCAUUUCCGGGAGGAUCUAACGCCCCCUUCUGGCCUCGGCGGGUAUCAGCAGGGAUGUGGUGUGUAGACGUGCAUGCAGGCAAAAACACCCCAUACCCACAAAAGCAAGACAGAUUUACUCUCUUUCCUUCUCUUUUCCAUCAAUGGCCCCAAUAAAAUAUCCAAGACCGAAGACCCCGUCGGCCAAGCUCACUGUCCAAGAACAGCUGAAUCUGAUGAGAGAAGAAAGUAACCCCAAGCAUUCUUACGAACUUAACAUUUGUUGUCCCCUGAAUGUUGCUGAAUGUGUAUGUGUUGGGUGCCAGCACAAGCUUGCUAACUUUUCCUUCUCUCUUGCUUUGCUGGGUCUCCUGAGCCCUCAUUCAGUGCCUUUUCAGUUGUGUUGGGAGAUGAGGAUCCCAGGAUGCCAACACUGAACCUUGCCAAACCUACAGGAUGUCAGCUGCUAGGCAGGCGUUUUAGGCACAGUGACUUGUGCUCGCAGGGGGAGAAGCUACUACUGUCCUUCCAGGCUUUACUGUUCUUGAUCUUUGUGGGCUCGUUUCAAAUAAAGCUCCACCACCACUGGCCCUGUGAAAUGUAUCCAUCCAAACCACUGACUCAUCCUUCUGGAGUGACCUGGAAUAAGCUGUCCUUAUUGUAAUACUAAAUUCUCUACCUAACAGCUCUCUGCUGCUGUUUUUGACCAUGUGAUGGAUGACCUCAAAUUAAGCAUGCACAGGAGUUAACAACGCUCCCCAAGCAUGGAGCAGUCUUUCCUAUCAGAGUAGGUAUGCAUUUCUCCAGAGAAAGAUUCCUGCUUUGCUGGGUGAGGAUUCCCUCUAUGCUGCUUGCCUGCAGCAAGUAAGCCUUCCUUCAUGAUUUCCUCUCUUGCUUGGGCUUGGACUUUGUACUCGACAUGGGUGGAGUGAGUGGAGGGUGGGGUGAGGGGUGAGCCCUUGUGUUUUGUUAGAAGACAGAGAAUUCAUUCCUAUAUCCACCCCCCCCCCAGAGCCAAGGCAUGGAUGCACUCACAGAUCUGCUUACUUGUGCCUCACAACUUCAUCACGGACAGUUUCACAGUCUUUUCCAUCCACACCAGUCUAGUAGUAGAACUUUCCAAGCAAGUAGAAAUACUCUGGGAAGCCGUGUGAGAGAGCUAGCUCAAAGGAGGGCGAGGCUGUAGACCUGUGAGACCAUCUUUGCAGCUUCUAGCUCUCUUCUUAAUAUCUGCAACAAAGUCAAUAAAUACUGGCUCCUUUCCAGCCAACGUUUCUUACAGCAUUCAACUCAUUUCUCUUGCCCAUAUGUACUACUGUGAGGCAUAGCACCCAGUUCAGUUCAGUAUACCUUAUAUCAGCAG